rnacentral:tRNA from 1 species
GCGACAUGAGCUCAGCGGGUAAGAGCGUUAUCUUGCCAAGGUUGAGGUCACGCCUGGCUCCUUGAAGAUCAGGAACCUCGUAUGUCGCUCCA